UCGAAAAUCCGUAGACGCUACGGACUUGAAAAUCCGUUGGCUUUAUUGACCGUGAGGGUUCAAGUCCCUCUACCCCCA
rnacentral:tRNA from 1 species